rnacentral:rRNA from 1 species
GACGAACGCUGGCGGCGUGCUUAACACAUGCAAGUCGAACGAAGUGGCGAACGGGUGAGUAAUACGUGGGUAAACUGCCCUCCUUUUUGGGAUAAGCCUUGGAAACGGGGUCUAAUACCGAAUAACGGGGGAUGGGCUCGCGGCCUAUCAGCUUGGUGGUGGGGUGAUGGCCUCCCAAGGCGGUGCCGGGGAGCCGGCCUGAGAGUGUGAACGGCCACAGUGGGACGGUGAUACGGCCCAGACUCCUAAGGGAGGCAGCAGUGGGGGAUAUGGCACAAUGGGCGAAAGCCUGAUGCAGCGACGCCGCGUGGGGGAUGAAGGCUUUCGGGUUGUAAAGUACUUGCAGUCGGGAGGCGUUACCGACAGAAGAAGCACCGGCUAACUCCGUGCCAGCCGCCGCGGUAAUAC